AACGUAGGACGCAAGCGUUAUCCGGAGUUACUGGGCGUAAAGGGCAGGCAGGCGGGUCGAUAAGUCGGAUGUGAAAUCUCCCUGGCUUAACCGGGAGAGUGCAUUUGAGACUGUCAACCUGGAGGGCAGCAGAGGAGCGUGGAAUUCCGGGUGGAGUGGUGAAAUGCGUAGAGAUCCGGAGGAACACCAGUGGCGAAGGCGACACGCUGGGCCGUACCUGACACUGAUGCGCGACAGCAUGGGGAGCAAACAGG
rnacentral:rRNA from 1 species